UUCAUGGUCCAUGUGGAUAGACCAGGUGAAAAGGAGAAGAAAGAAUGGGAAUAAAACAGAGAGAAGCAGAAAGAGCCUGAUCAGAGAGAGAUAUGAUGAGGUAUGCAUUUACAGGGGCAGUGCUAAAACCAAAAUGAAAAGUCACUGCAUUCCUCAAGGAGCUCAUUGCCUCGUUAUACCAAAUGGAGCUAGUGGAAUUGUUCAGAUCUGGAGGAGUCCCGUCCCUGGGAAGGCAGAUCCAGGAGAGCACAACCGGCAGAGGCCAGGCUGCUCGUGUUGGGCUGAUGGCCAGGCACAAGCUGCGGGGGACAAAUGCCAUGCUGGGGGACAAACAACAUGCUGGCCAGGAGUUGGGUGAAGGGAGCGCUCAGCAUCCCCUCCAUCCCUUUGCUGGGCUUCCAUGCUGAUGUAACAUCGGUGCAUGGUGAUGUCAACAGUUGACCCUACGCCUCCCCAUCCUGCUCUGUCCUCCCCUUGCUGGGCUGGGGGCAGCUCUGUGUCUCCUGACCUGGUUGCUGCUGACCACAGUGCAUUGGGGUGUGCCAUCAGAUCCCAACCUGAACCAGAGCUGCAUGGAGCCCAAGAGGAUUACAACAUCCAAAGUCAACCCGAGCGGUGGAAGCUAGCUAUUAGCUAAUGCAACCUCACCACUUCCUCUGCGAAUCCCUGAUUCACAGCAAAGGAAAAGACAGCACAACAGAGCCCCAAGCAAUUUGCUGUAAGGCUGCUCCAACGCCCAGCUCCCAGCCCACGCUGAUCCAUCACGCUGCACCCGAACGGACUGCGUGCAUCACCCAGCACUGCUGCAAUGGCUCUAGCAGCAGGAUGCAUUAGCAUUCCUGGUAAUGGAGACCAAGGGGCACGGUGGGGAGGAGAUGCUGCUAUAAUGGACAAGGGAUGCAGCAGUCUGGCUGUAGCAAUUAAAAGGGUAAGUGAUGAGAGAGAUGGGUGCAGCAGGAGGGCUGCCAGUAGGUUUGUUCUCUUCACAGCAAUACAGCUCCUAUGGCUGGGAAUGGAUAGUCAUCAAAACAGGGGAUGCUCAGGCUGAGCAAAGCUGCAAGGAAGAAACAUAGGAGCCAAAAAAAGGGGGAAUUUAAGGCA
rnacentral:lncRNA from 1 species